rnacentral:misc_RNA from 1 species
AUCGCGAGUUGUUUGGAUAUUUCUGCGUAAUCCUGAAAACAUGGAACAUUUCACCAAUUGCGUGUACCGUUUGGACCGCUGCAACAGUCGUCGGCGAGCCAAAUGCAAAUAAUCAACGCCCGGCUUUUUUUUCUUCCCUUCAUUAAUUUUUUUCCGCUUUAUAUUCCGCGAUGUGACGUGGCGCGAGAUAUCGAUUUUGAAUAAACCUCGGGGAUUUACAUUUGAAAUUACUUUCACUCGGGGUGCGAAAAAGAAAUUCACCCCAUCCCCGAUCAACCUUCAUUAUACUUUCAUCUACACCCGCGCGAUCGCCUCUGAUUAUUUUUCUUUUCCACCAGAGAAGAAAAGAGGAUUGAAAAAGAUAACGGAGAUCCGAGAAAGAGAGAGGGAGAGAGAGAGAGAACUCUCGAGAGGAGGACGGAAAAUGAAUUUACCAAUAUUGCAUGGCCGAGAAAACCGCUCACCUGCCCGCGACUCUACACUGACGUGGGUAACGUAUAGUUUCUGGCCUUUGUUCAGCCCCCGCAGGUUCCGAAGUCAACAAACAAAUCUCAUACCGCGAUAUACCUAUAUCCCGCGAUCACUUUGACGUUCCGAUCACGAUCGACCUUCGGCUUCAGCUGCAGCUUACGGGAAUUACUGGUUUCCUUCUCGAACCGCGCUCCGUACGCUCGUGCUGUAACCGCGAAUUUUACGCUGUUCGAUGUUCAUUUCGCUGCCGAAAAAUCCGUGAAUCGCCGCGGGUCUCUUCGUCACUCCAUCUGUACGCAAUGUAUGCGCCGUGCACUUUCCAUUUCAACGCCAUGAAUUUUUCAUCGUCGCUGUUGGGAAUUUUUGGGAUACCGUCGACGGAGGAACGUUCGUUGUUGCCCGCCCCUGGUGGUUCGCGACUUUUUUCUUCGGUCUUCGUUACCUUUUGUUCUCCUUUGAUUUUUUUCAUUCGCCGUGUUUAACUUCAAACAAUUUAUUCCGCGAGUCAUCAAACUCGCGGGACCGAGUCAAAGCUUUUACCGCAAAUUCGGGGCACCCGCGCGCAUAGCCCUAGAAACGGCCGUUUAUUGCGCUGUUUGUUCUGCCUGUUUACUCUUUUACGCGCCUAGGGCAAACCCUUUCUGUGAUUUUUACGCGAGACCGACGGACUUCUCGACGUUAGAUGUACGAAGCCUUUGUCGCAAGCUUUUGUGCGACCUAUACCACAUUUCUUUUUUUUUUAUUUUUACAUAACGCUUGCGAAUACAACCAGGAAUAUUCGCGGCUACGAUAUUCAUGAUAAUUUGAAUAGAAUAACGAUUUUUUCGUC